rnacentral:RNase_P_RNA from 1 species
CAAGUAAGACAGACAAUCGCGGCUGACACAUGUCAGGUGAGGAAAGUCCGGGCUUCACAGGGCAGGAUGCCGGAUAACGUCCGGUGGAGGCGACUCCAAGGCCAGUGCAACAGAAAUAAACCGCCGGUCCCUCCGGGGCCGGUAAGGGUGGAAAGGCAGUGUAAGAGACUACCGCCCGGCUGGUAACAGACGGGGCACAUGUAAACCCCAUCCGAAGCAAGACCAAGCAGAAGCAUAUGGUGGCCCGCCAGCUUCAGGUAGGUCGCUUGAGCGUGCCGGCGACGGCACGCCUAGAUAGAUGAUUGUCCAACGACAUAACCCGGCUUAUCGUCUUGCUUGCGCC